GUGAGUAACACGUAUCCAACCUGCCGUCUACUCUUGGACAGCCUUCUGAAAGGAAGAUUAAUACAAGAUGGCAUCAUGAGUCCGCAUGUUCACAUGAUUAAAGGUAUUCCGGUAGACGAUGGGGAUGCGUUCCAUUAGAUAGUAGGCGGGGUAACGGCCCACCUAGUCUUCGAUGGAUAGGGGUUCUGAGAGGAAGGUCCCCCACAUUGGAACUGAGACACGGUCCAAACUCCUACGGGAGGCAGCAGUGAGGAAUAUUGGUCAAUGGGCGAGAGCCUGAACCAGCCAAGUAGCGUGAAGGAUGACUGCCCUAUGGGUUGUAAACUUCUUUUAUAAAGGAAUAAAGUCGGGUAUGUAUACCCGUUUGCAUGUACUUUAUGAAUAAGGAUCGGCUAACUCCGUGCCAGCAGCCGCGGUGAUACGGAGGAUCCGAGCGUUAUCCGGAUUUAUUGGGUUUAAAGGGAGCGUAGAUGGAUGUUUAAGUCAGUUGUGAAAGUUUGCGGCUCAACCGUAAAAUUGCAGUUGAUACUGGAUAUCUUGAGUGCAGUUGAGGCAGGCGGAAUUCGUGGUGUAGCGGUGAAAUGCUUAGAUAUCACGAAGAACUCCGAUUGCGAAGGCAGCCUGCUAAGCUGCAACUGACAUUGAGGCUCGAAAGUGUGGGUAUCAAACAGGAUUAGAUACCCUGGUAGUCCACACGGUAAACGAUGAAUACUCGCUGUUUGCGAUAUACGGCAAGCGGCCAAGCGAAAGCGUUAAGUAUUCCACCUGGGG
rnacentral:rRNA from 1 species